CUUGUGCCACGGUGGCCCAAAUGUCAGUCAACCAGACAUGUCUUCUGAGAGGUAAGUUUUUGAAAAAUACUAGACUUUUCUCAAAUGUAUUUCUUUACAGGAAUAAAAAGAAAGCUAAUUUUGCAUGAGCAUGCAGGAAGUCUGCAGACAGACAUUCUACAUAGUCCCUUGGGGACUCAGUAGAAGUGGAAUCAAGACCAACCCAAGCCCAACAAGGCAGCUCCGCUGGUUAAUGCCUCCCAGAUCUGUCAUCUGUGAUAAAGAGCCUCGCUGUAGCUGAGGAGCUGGCCAAGAACCUUUCCCAGUUAGCCAAGUUCGUGAAGAAGUCACAUGUGGUGAAUAUAUUAUCAUCAGAAUGCGGAGCAAUGAAAUGUAAACAGAUAGGAAUCGUCACUAAAGCUCCAACUGCAGCCUCCGGGUGCCAUAGCUUUUGCACCAUCCAUUUGCACCAUCUCUGCAGUAAGUCCUAGCUCAAGCCUUACUCCAAAGUACAAAUUAGCAUAGCAGCUCAGUCAACAAUGCCUCCGAGCUUCUGGAAAGAAAGAUGCUCAGUCACCAUAGACCCAGAAUUAAUGAAAAGUCACAGAAAUAAUAGCUCCAUUCUCUACUUGCUUCUGAACCUCAAAUCAGUGGUUGGCAACAAGGAUGUCUGCAUCAUCUGUAUUGACCUGCUCCCCAGAUUAAUACCGAAGCACUGCAAUUUCUUGAGGAUUAUCCACCUAGGAGGAAAUGAUACGCUGGCCCAUCCAUAGUAGUCAAGGGAACCACCAUCUCAGAUGGUAGAAACCACUCAGAAGGAUCAACUGCUGCAGACGGGAAGAGGAGCAACCUCGUGAAUAAUUUCGUGACAGGAUAUUGCAGGAGGGACUUUGUCCAAAUGUGUGCAGGGUAGUUGGCUACAGCAACAAGGAUGACGAACACAGAUGAAUUGAUCAGGAUGUAACCAUUCAAAGUUGAGAGGAUUAGAGGACUUCUCCGAGGCGGCUCCAAUGGAUGCCAGCAGAGUUAAAGUGUCCAAUGGAGAGAAGAGAAGGCUUGGGAAAUCCAGAGUCCAUUCAUUCAUCGCCCUCCUCCUAGAACAACAAAAGCGAGCCCCAGUACUCAUCAGCAUGGACUCUGUGUGUAGUCAUCUCCCUUAGUUUCAGAGGUUCCUGCCUACAGCAAAACUUUAGAGGCUUAGAGUUUAACGGUCAUAGCUUAUUCACCUCCAACUGUGUCCUAGUUCAAGAGAAACACUUCACAUAUCUGUAGGGAGAAGAUAAUGAACCAAGGAUACAAGUUAAGCCUUAGCUAAGACCUGUUACUCAGGAAAAAGAGCUAAAACAAGCUGCUUAGAUCAGCACCAAUGUUAGGUAGAGAGAAAAAGAAACGCUGCAUAGAAAUCUUAAGGUUCACAUGUGCUCCAGGCUGGGUCAACAACUUCUAAUUUCCUUUGCCAACCAACCAUGUCUUUGACAGAAAUGAUCCUUCUACAUAGACCACAGAGGGAUCCAAUGGAGGUUUCUCUUCCUGAAUUUGGGGAUUCAGAAUCUGGACAAAUUCCUUUCCAUCAAAGUCCAGUACAAAAGUAGUACCAUGGCAGUCCCUGCAGGGACUUGCAUCACUUUCCCUAGAGAUAUCAAGAGAAUUUUUAGUGAUAAGAAUAUGGCACAAAAUGAGAAAUCCCAUUACUCUUAAGAGAAUCUCUUCCUUCUCAAAGGCACCUGAUUAAUACAUAUAGUACUAUCAGUAAGGCUGAGCAAAAGGAUACUGAUGUUCUGAGUGAUCUUAAAUCAUGUAAUAAUAACUUUAUUCGUAGUAUAGAACGGAAUAUUCCCUAUUAGUAAUCAGUUCCUUUGCCAGAUCCUCAUAGUAUCUUAGUCACUGUUUUAUUGUUAUGAAGAGAAACUUUGACCACAGCACCUCUUAGAAAAAAGGAAGCAUUUAAUCGGGACUUCCUUAUGGUUUCACAGUUUUACAUAAUUGUCAACAUGGCAGAGAACAUGGGGGCACGCAAACAGACAUGGUGCUGGAGAAGUAGCGGAGAAUAUACAGCAACAUAUAGAUACAAAAUAUAGAUACAUAUAGAUACAGAAUAUAGAUACAUAUAGCUACAUAUAGAUCUGCAGGCAGCAGGAAGAGACUGGGACAAGGCCAUACCUUCUAAGGCUUCUCAAGGAGUGUCACUUCCUGAUGACCAAGCAUUCAAGUGUAUGAGCUUAUGGGAGCCAUUCUUAUUCAAGCCACCACACAUAGCAAAGCUGAUAAUGUCAUUUUCUGAAUUAACCAGGCCAAGGCACACUUCUUAGCAACAUGGUUACCUGGUAACCAGAGAUUUUUCUCAUCCCAUGAGAGAUUUCAUUCAAGAACUGAUCUUCUAACAGUUUUGUCUCUCUUAAGAAUGCUACAGACAGGGUGGGGUGAGGCACAGUGCUGAAGCCCCUCAAGUUUCCCAGAGGGAUGAGUCCAUGAAAGACGAAAAUCAUGUGGUCACACUGAGCAUAGACUUCACAAGCAUCAUGCUAGGAUUCCAUUUUCUUUCUCAACACAAUGAUAAAUUCUUCUUCCAAUAAGCAGAAAAUCAUCCAAUGGGAAAAAAAAAUAAAACCAACUAACUUGCAGUCCUUUGGAACAGUUUCAUAGCUUACAGGAUGGCUUCAUAACCCUGGGGACACUCGUUUUGACAUGAAAACUUCCUUCAGAACAGGAAUUCUGAUCCAACAUGUGCUCAGACAUCAUUUCAGUCACUUGCAAAUGAACAAGAAAGCUCAUGUAAAUGAGGAGGCUCAACUCCCAGGCCUGGUGAGUGGGUAAGACAUUCCUCUGCUGGGUUUUGAAGGCUGUCUGAAACCAUCGGCUGACAUCCUUCUCUGUGUGCAUGUAUGCACUAUCUACGGGAAAUUCAGCUCCAACCGGUUGUCUCUACAGCUCCCUUAAUCUUCUCCUCCCUCCUCCUGGCAUUGGCAUGUGUCCCAGGACUGCAGCGAGGAGUGCUUACCAACAAAGGUGCUGGCAUCUGCAUUUGUUUCACAGCCACAAACCUAAUGGUUCCAUGAUUUUGGCGAGCAAAACUGUCAAAAUGCCUGAGCACAAGAGAUCACAAGAUGAGCCAAGGCAUAGUGUGCAUGCCUUCCUUCCCAGCACUCGGAAGGCAGAGGCAAGGGGAUCUCUGUGGGUUCAAGGCCAGCCUGAAUCACAAGGUGUACUGGGGAUUCUUUUUUAUUGUUUUCCUUUUGCUAUCUGGAAUAGUUUGAGAUUGUAUUUGAUCAGUGCAUUAAACAAC
rnacentral:lncRNA from 1 species